ACUUCAGGGCGGGGUGAAAUUCCCCACCGGUGGUAAAGCCCACGAGCGCAUAGCUGCACGAUUCGGUGAAAUUCCGAAGCCGACGGUCAUAGUCCGGACGAAAGAAGA
rnacentral:ncRNA from 1 species